rnacentral:rRNA from 1 species
CGCUGGCGGCGUGCUUAACACAUGCAAGUCGAACGGUGAAGCUCCAAGCUUGCUUGGGGGUGGAUCAGUGGCGAACGGGUGAGUAACACGUGAGUAACCUGCCCCCGGACUCUGGAAUAAGCGCUGGAAACGGCGUCUAAUACUGGAUAUGACAUCAAGCCGCAUGGUUAUGGUGUGGAAAGUUUUUCGGUCCGGGAUGGGCUCGCGGCCUAUCAGCUUGUUGGUGAGGUAAUGGCUCACCAAGGCGACGACGGGUAGCCGGCCUGAGAGGGCGACCGGCCACACUGGGACUGAGACACGGCCCAGACUCCUACGGGAGGCAGCAGUGGGGAAUAUUGCACAAUGGGCGAAAGCCUGAUGCAGCGACGCCGCGUGAGGGAUGACGGCCUUCGGGUUGUAAACCUCUUUCAGCAGGGAAGAAGCGAAAGUGACGGUACCUGCAGAAGAAGCACCGGCUAACUACGUG